rnacentral:tRNA from 1 species
GGGGGCGUAGUUCAGCCCGGUUCAGAACACCCGCCUGUCACGCGGGAGAUCGUGGGUUCAAAUCCCAUCGCCCCCGCCA